rnacentral:lncRNA from 1 species
ACAUUUUAUGAUAAAAAUAUAAGGUUCUAAUUGAAAUAUUUUUAAACAUUUCUCUCUUGUUCUUUUUAAGGUAAAAAGAAAAUGGCAUACCCGGCUAUAUUUGAGAGCGGGAACAAAUGUCGGAUGUGGCGUCGUUUUAGGCUGAACAGUUAUAGACUCCCACAACGACACCGUUUCAAAGACGCAGCAGGGCCAGCCGUCUGUAGCAUGCCCUAAAAGCGUAAUUGGGAGAAGAACGAGAGUUCCUUCAUGUGGUGGGGAUAAGGAAUGCUGUUUGCUUAAAUCCAAAAAGACUUUUGCUUUCUUUCCAGGUAAUAUUAUUUCACUCAAUUGCUGCUUCAGGUUUCCUGAUUUCUGCAGAAAACUAAUAGUUGUCGUUGUCUAUAAAUAUCAUGUACUGUAAUUUGACAAGGAGCCAGGCAUUUCCCUUGGCUGUUAGAUUUUCUCUGCGACCCAGAUGCAUAAGAAAUUUCCACACCUCAAAACCCAAAUCUUUACCAAUUGGGUUCUCUCCAAAACUGUCGUUAAAUCCUAUCUGCCAUAGCUACGAAGAAAUUUCUGGCGGUUUUGGUUAUAGAAGUAAUAGAUUGUUUAACUUAGUGACAUCCACAAAAUUUGCAGUGCGCUUUCACUCUAAAUCUGUGGAAGUCAGCAGUAUAGCAAAACUCAGAAGAGUCUCAAAAGGGUUUAGGCUUAGAGGUUAUUUGAAUUGCCCAAGUUCUANNNNN